AUAGGACACAGCAUUUUAAACUAGAAAUAGUUAGAAGUAAAUACCUAAAACCUAAUAGGACACAGCAUUUUAAACUAGAAAUAGUUAGAAGUAAAUACCUAAAACCUAAUAGGACACAGCAUUUUAAACUAGAAAUAGUUAGAAGUAAAUACCUAAAACCUAAUAGGACACAGCAUUUUAAACUAGAAAUAGUUAGAAGUAAAUACCUAAAACCUAAUAGGACACAGCAUUUUAAACUAGAAAUAGUUAGAAGUAAAUACCUAAAACCUAAUAGGACACAGCAUUUUAAACUAGAAAUAGUUAGAAGUAAAUACCUAAAACCUAAUAGGACACAGCAUUUUAAACUAGAAAUAGUUAGAAGUAAAUACCUAAAACCUAAUAGGACACAGCAUUUUAAACUAGAAAUAGUUAGAAGUAAAUACCUAAAACCUAAUAGGACACAGCAUUUUAAACUAGAAAUAGUUAGAAGUAAAUACCUAAAACCUAAUAGGACACAGCAUUUUAAACUAGAAAUAGUUAGAAGUAAAUACCUAAAACCUAAUAGGACACAGCAUUUUAAACUAGAAAUAGUUAGAAGUAAAUACCUAAAACCUAAUAGGACACAGCAUUUUAAACUAGAAAUAGUUAGAAGUAAAUACCUAAAACCUAAUAGGACACAGCAUUUUAAACUAGAAAUAGUUAGAAGUAAAUACCUAAAACCUAAUAGGACACAGCAUUUUAAACUAGAAAUAGUUAGAAGUAAAUACCUAAAACCUCGUUCAAAAAUAUUGUUUUUCAAACUUUUUGUUGCUAUGAAUGGUAAAUGUUCAUUAUAAGUUUUAAGUCGAACAUAAGAAAAUAUUUGGCUUCUAAAUAUAAGGAAUUCAUAUGUAGAAACAAGAACUAUCUAUUCCGCUGGCAUGUGCGCGCGUAAAUGAUGCCCAGUCCUACAGUGAUAACCAGAAAACUGGAGAAUAGGAAGACGACAUUAUACAUUUGAUGUUGUCACAAAGCACAAAGCUUUUCUAGUAAGUUAUCAAAUCUCCUAUUAAGUGGAUGGGUCUGUUAACACUGCACAUUUUUUAUGCCUCAUGUUCAUUGGACUAAAAGUCAUAACUUGUGUCUAAAAGUCGUCUUCAUAUUCCAGAGUUGUCUGGUUCUCACUUUAACUACCACAAUAAUGUUUAGGUUGAUAUUUCCUGGUUUGUUAUAAUCUCCUGCAUAGUUGCAGUCUCAGGUUUUAUUGUCAAUUCAGCUGUUGUGGCAGUCGUAAUCAAGAAGCAACGGACCUUGAUUAACCUUUUAAUUGUCUGGAGUUGUUUGGCAGCUGGGGGUCAACUCUCGAUGGUCCUAUUACAGUUGCUGCUUGAACACUGGAAAACAGCAUUUUACCACGAGAUGUGUGUUGGAUUCUCAUCAGCUGUCAUGUUCAUCACCAGUCUUAACAGACUCCUUCCAGUUGGUAUUGUGGGCUUUAGGUAUGUGUAUGUGCUUCAUAGCAGUUGGAUUAUGAACAAAAGGAACAAACAAAUUCUACAUUGGGGCAUCUUAGGUAAGUUAUGACAAAUUGAUAUUCAGCAAUUUCAACAUUUCUAUCUUUUUCUAUAAUUUCUAUCACAUUUCAGGUUUCAUCACACUAAUGCCAACAGGAAAAAUAUCAAAUUCUUCUCAAUAUCAAACCAAAUAAUACUUAAGAAAUUUUGCAAAAACAAUACUAAGUUUACAUUUGGUAAAGUUUUACCAUUUUAUCUGUCAAUUUGUAAAAAGGUUGGACUGGUAAAAGGAAAAGUUUGAAACCAUCAAGGGUGUAAAGUAAGAUUAGAUACUCUGGCUGCGCUCCAAUGUAAUAGAAAUGUUGUCUUCAUAGCAAUGGAUCCUUAAAAUCCUAGAUGUCACUGAUUAUUGAUUGAUUAUUAUUGAUUUUCAGCUGUAAAAAGUAAAGACAAUUCUUCCCCUCUCCACUCACCAGCAAUGUUGUCACUGCAUCUUCUGCCAAUAAUCAGUUACAUCCUAUGAUGUUUUUAAGUCUCCAUUGCUCUGAAGAACACAUUUAUAGUACAUUAGAGGGCAUCCAGAGUAUCUAACAUUACUUUAUACAACCUUGGUACCAUACAAUUACAGAUGAACGAACUUUUAGAAUAAUCAAUUGCAAAGCUUUUCUUAACUUGUUUUGAAAACUUUUUUAUCAAGAAAUGACUCUGUAGUUCCCAAUUUUUCUGUUUGAUUGAUUUAAAUUUUCAAAACCAAGUUAUUGGAGUAAAUACAAUUAUCUUCCACAACAAGGCCAUCUUCUACCAGGCAUGUCUAUCACCCAGGGCAAGAGCAGAGUGGCAGGGAACCGGAGACUGGGAUCUUCCACUUCUCCACCCUCUUCAUCUCUUCCUCAUAUUCAUCUACAUUGCCUUCAUCAUACUCGUCCCCUUAGGAUAUUUGGGUAUAUACGUGUUUCUAAAAAGACACACCAGUAGACUGCAGGGCAUAUCAAAAACAGAGCGGAGCCAAAGACUAAGGAAGAAUGUCGUGACUUUUUGGUUCAACCUGAUGAUUUGGACCCUUGAGGCUACAGCAAUGAUCUUGGUGAUAGUGAGCAGAGGGGUUUUCAUAGAACGUAACACACACCAGAAUCAGGAUAAAGUCAUGGUAUUGGUUUAUCACUUUGUAACAUCAGUUGUAUCCCCAGCUCUCUACUUUAAAGGUAU